rnacentral:lncRNA from 1 species
CAGUACCCUCAUCCUCAUCAUGUUAAUUACACUCACCUGGAAGUAAAUCAUACUGAAAUCCAGUGAGGCUUGCUUUUGCAUAAACAUGGCUAGCACUUCACUCUGAAGACACUGGUAGAAAGGAGCAGCAUUUUGCUAUCACAGUACUUCAAAGAUGGGAAGAAACACUCUGUGGAACAUUUCAUUCCUUGUUAGCUCUUAGAGAUGCAAGAGCUCGAAGUCUAGCAAUAUUACAGUCACAUUGUAACGGAGGAGGAGGAGGAGGAGGCAAGAAGAAGCCAGUCAAUUCUGACAUCUGGCAAACUUUUUCAGGGUUUUCCAGCUUAGUGCAUCCCACAUUGACCAGAGGAGUGGCAACAGCUAUCCCCAGAAUAUCUGAACACACCGUUUUCUGGCUGGAGUUGAGAGCUGAGCACCCUGUUAUAAUGAAGGUCAUCUGA